CAGCCAGGAAAAGAGCAGUCCAUCCCCAGAGUCCAACAAUAGCCGUUAUUUUUGGAAGACUUGGAGCUGCAAUAACAGAAUUAACAAAGAGGAACAUAAGAAAGAUUAUAAUAGAAAAUAAGAUGGGAGCAUAACCAAUGCCGCCUAUCNNNNNAAAUUUUGUCACCCAAGUGUUUGCUUUGUGCCCGUUGUGCAUUAGAAAGGAAAAGGGCGACAUGCCGAUGACCUUUAUCAGAUGCAAGCUGAACAGGAGUAAAUCCGGCUUUAUCCUUCACUGUCAGCUCCUGCUUUGUGCCAGCAUGUACAAGAACUGUGCACGCCUCUACAUUUCCUCUUAAUGCAGCCCA
rnacentral:misc_RNA from 1 species